GCACCACACACACGGGAGAGUCCGCUCCAGGCUGAAGCUUAGAUCGGCCUGUGAAAGGUCAGACAAAGCCACGUGUAUCUUAAAUAAAUCAGAAAAGCACGGCUGUGCUGGUUUCAUGGGUGGAAAUCCCCCAUGUUGGAAAUAAACUGCCCAGCUCACUGGAUCUUAAAGAAACGCCAUCCCAGGCUUCGCGGACUUACAGAGGAAAACGCGCCAUGGCUGGUGCCACUGACGAUCACGAUUUUUAAACGUUUUUGCCAGUGAAUGUUUCAGAAGUACACACAGUGCUGGUAACGCAUCUUGCGCGGCAGUGAUCUUGCUUGGCAAACACAGAGACGACCACUUAGAUGUGCCCAACAAUCAGGGCACUUAACACUUUGCAUCCUGAGCUCGACAGAAAGGAAUACGCACGGCAUCAUAAAAAGUCUGCUCAUACGAGAUGCUCCUCGUGACUUGUUUCGUGUGUGAAGGGGUCGGUUGCUAUCUUUGGUUAUCUAGCUGUAUGAGUGUUUCUCCUCCGUCAUAAAGCUAGAUAACCGAAAGUAGGAGCGGUCUCCUGUACUGCGCACUGCUCCUGCACUAGAGCAUGAGCAGGAAAAAUACUGACCACUGCGUGGAGAUCUAUCAUAGGGAAGCUCCUUCCGGACUGCAGCAUUUACUUGAGAGACCGGACCAGCAUACACAGGAACAACACCAAGUGCCUCCUCCCUUCAUCAACGGAAGCUUUCGGUGCCAUGUGUGCCCCCCGGAGCAGAGGGCGGGAGAAGAGAAAAAUGAUGUGCAAGAGGCUACAGUUCAUGUGCCAGUGGAGACAAAGAGGCUGCCAGUCGCUACGAUCCCCACAGAUGCUGAAGAUUGGAUCUCUGAAUGAGGGGCUGUGCUUUGAGGAAGCCAUCUUGAUGGAAAGGCUGGCUGCCUGCUUGCUUCCUAAAAUGGCUGUGUUGGCAUGAGGGACUCUGUUGACGACAACACCAAGCUGAUACAGAGAGUACAUCCUAUUCAAAGUCCCUGGGUCAUUUUCAAAUAGAUCAGACACUCUGGUUCCUGAUCUCUUGUACAUUUACAUUUGUAGCAUUUGACAGACACCCAUAUCCAGAGCCUUUUUUUUAUCUAAUUUAUACAACUGAGCAGUUGAAGGCCUUGCUCAAGAGCCCAGCAGCAGGUCCUGAGAUUUAAACUCACAACCUUCCAAUCAGUAGUCCUACACCUUAACCACUGAGCUACCAAUUACUUAGAUAAGAGCUAAUAUCUAUAUCUAAAAUAUAUCUAAUUACUGCUUCUGGCUAUUUUGUAGCAGACAAUCAAAGCAAUUAGCAAAGCAUAUGUUAUUAGAAAACUGGUAUAAAUGCUUUUAUUGCUUCUUGAAUAAACAACCUGACAAUCUGUAUACAAUUUUCUAAUCUGCAAAGGGCAAAGUAUUUAUAUUUAAAUGAAUUAAGUAUAUAAUGAUCAUUUUUUGCAGAACAUUUUAAAUGCUUUUGCAGAAUGCUGGCUAAUAAAAAUGUGCCUUACUGUGUGAACUGUUUACAGUAAAAAUGUAGUUUGAUAUUCACAUUUAAUAGACAACUAUAUAGUUCAUGAACUUGGGAGUAAUUUCUGUUGCUCCUGUUUUAACUGUGCCUUCAGCCUCUUUUGUGAAUAAAUGAAAUGUAUUCCUUUCUGUGAUGAAAAUAUAUCUAUUAAAACUUGUCAUUCUGUUUUCCUUAAAACCUCAGUUGAACAAAAACGAAUUAUGCAUUCAACAUUUUUGUAUAGCUUGUGCUACAAUAUUUUAUUGGCUCUAUUUUUUUAAUAACUAUUGUUUAUUUUAUACUUUACUCAAUGUUAGAUAAAUAAAAAUCAAUAAACAUGUGCAAUAUAAAUAUGA